GGCGGGGGGGGGGAAGAGAGAGAGAGAGAAAGCUGGUGAGGAUCCUAACGAUGGAGAGUGUGUUGCAGAGACUGGCCGAGGCCGGGGGGAGCGGCUGGAGAAAGCCGCACCGAGCCCUGGAGGAGGAGGGGGGGGAGAGCCCGGGAUGGGGAGACGCCGGCAGCAAACUCAGGGAGUUGCCUUCCUGCGGGUCACUCCACGCCGCCCGCAUGUCCCUGAGGAAGCGGCUGCCCCUCAAGCAGGUGCUGUGCAACACCGACCAGACCCCGAGCUGGGAACGCCUGGAGAUGGUGGGGAAGAAAUCCAGCACCAUGCAAACCCUGAGCCGGACAGCGAGGAACACCCUGGGUAACAUGUCCCUGAGGCUGCAGAAAGGACGGCAGAGGCGAGCUGACUACCUGGUGUCCACGCCUCCGAAGCCCUCGCCCCACCGGGGGCGCGGCAACGCGAGGAAAAGCACCCCGCCUCGGACCCCCGGGGCCCGCACUCCGGCCUCCGGCGCCAAGCGGACCCCGGCGGGGUUGGGCAAAGCCGAGCGGAGGGAUGGGGCUCGCCUGGGGAGCAGGGGGGGGCUUCCCCUCAGGAGGUCCGUGCGAGCGGCCGCGCUCAGAAGUCCCUUCGCCUCGCCCAUGGCGGCCGGCAGGAGGAGACAGUUUGAGCGAGAUCUCGACAGCGUCGCUCACGGUAUUGGCCAGCUGAAACGUCUGUCCCAAGUUUUUGACGAAGCAAUCGCCAAGGAGGAGAGUGACAUGGCUCUCUGUCUCAUUGACUUCUGAAGGAGCCAGGGAAACGAGGGGACGUGCCAUUGAGAACUACCGUCGUCUCGUGUGUGACAACGUGCUGACAUGUCGGGGUCGGAAGUGGUCGUCUCGGAGGAGGACUGAGAUUCCUUCGACGCUGCUGGUGUGAGCAGAUGGUCGGGCAAACACCGCAGCGUGUGAGGGGGGGGUCUUAGUUCCCAGGCCUUGGGGACGGGCUUCUGUUCCGCACAGAAUACUGCAACGUGUGUGUGUGUGGUGUCCCAUCUGUAUGUAGCCCAGUGACUUGGGAUGUUCUCCUGAUGUUAAUGGCGCUAUCCAAAGUAACUUGCUGUUGUUAUUGUUCUGUGUGUGUGUGUGUGUGGCUGUAAAUCGGGGUGCGCUGCUUGCACCGUGUACAAAAGCUGCCGUUCUAUGUAUAUUCCCAUCGAAACAAGGCAGCAAAUCUCUCGCUCUCUCUCUUUCUCAGUUCCUGUACUGUUGUGUAGGAGAAUCCCUGUGACUCUCACAUUUUCACUGAGGGUUAGGGGCACAUCUCGAUGCAUUUUGUUUUGCGGGUGGGUCAUGUUGUAGUGUGACAGUUGUGAUGUUAGGUUAUCACCUGUGAGACACUGAACCAUUGAUCUGAUCUCUGCCACUGGUGAUAAUUAACGCAGCCCGUCACUGUUUCCACCCUCUGUUAGGGGACCUAAUUCUAAAUUUAAGGCAAGUGCGUGAUUUAUAGUGCGUGCACUGAAGCCCACAUAAGUCUGAUCUUUACCAAUCAUAUAAUCAUCUAAUAAUAAUAAGUUUUACAGUUGCUAAAUGUAUGACCAAUUUCCGAGCUGGAGUCUCUGAAGGAAAAAAAAAUCUCAAAGUUCCAUCAAGGGAAACCGCUUACUUUGCCUGCUUCCCAUCAUGUUAUUGAACAAAUUAUAUUAUUGACCCCCCUCUAUAGAUGUUUUUAUACGUUGGCCGUUAACUUUCAAAUGGUCCCAGUGUGUCUGCUCGUCUACAAGAUCCGACAUUGACACAGAGCUCUCAUUAAUGGCUCCACGUCGCAUUUUUAUAUAUACAUAUAUCUAUAUAUUUGUGUAGUUUACAGUUGAAGUUUUUUUUAAAUCUACUUUUGUUUUCCCCUUAAAUGUAUCUCUUCUUUACGUAGGUUUGCACGGUCUUGUGCGUAACUUUUCCGUGUAGUUUUUUUUUUAAAAACAGUGUUAUACGCGUUUGAUCGAUUGUGCGGAUCGCUUUUCCGGGAGUCAUAAUCCCUUCAAGAAAUAUAUAUAAUAAUAAUUUGGUCACUCAAUCCACGACUGUUUAUGGGACGUCGCUGUGCGCAAUCAGCUACCACGUUUCGCCCACAAAAUACAGUCAAUUCACUUUACAGUAUAUUCUGUGAAGCGCUUUAAGACGUCUCGAAGACGUGAUAAGGCGCUGGAUCAAAUGCAAGGAUUAUUAUUAAAGUUUUGUACAAAAACCAACCACCAUAUUUUUUAUUAUUAACAAUAAUAAUUAUAGUAAAUAACUGUUCCAAAUAAAAUGUUACAAAUAAAGUCGUUCUCUUAGAAAUGACAACAGUGCUUUAUCAUACACAACU